rnacentral:misc_RNA from 1 species
GAGAGAGUAGUCCGCGAAUAUCGUCUACAAAACAACGAAACGAGGGCGGUCAAGCAGCUAGAGGGAGACCGCUGGGUGGACGAGUACGAUGUUCCCGACAAAGAGGUCCGCAAUGUUGGUGUACAGAUGACCACAAACUACGUGGUUCCAAAGCCGCCGGAAAAGGAAAGUCGCACCAUUGGGACGCAGACCAAACAGAAAACACCUCGUGAACCUACGCCCCCACCACCCCGUGAACCUACGCCACCACCACCCCGCGUCCCGACCCCACCGCCCGCUAAACCAAAGAAGAAAAAGAAGAAGACAGUGGUAGCUCCCCCGCCACCGCCGCCACCGAGAAUCAAGACUCCCGAGCCCGAACCUGAACCAGUCAAGGUCAAACCCAAGCUACCGCCACCACUGCCUGUUAUAUACAGGAGGAAGGCCCGGCACCAGUACGUUAGAGUGGGAGGGGGCUGGAUGAAGAUCGACCAUUACCGCAACCAUCACGUGCCCCUGAAAGAUCUACGAACACAGGAGGGAGGCGGCUAACAACAAGUUCCUGUCCAUCAAAUACCGCUACACUAAGGACAAGAAGAAGACGCCUGUAGCCUGGGCUAAAUACAGAUCCAGGGUGGCUCACGAAUCCUGAGGAUUAUCGAUAAGAUUGGCCUCCACCUCCGCCCUCGGGAAAAUUGCAAAAAAAAGAACGGCAUAAUGUAUGAAGAUCCUUACGGAUGGUAGUUGAUUGUGUAGGAAUGUAGGAAGAAAGUGGCAUUUAAAUAAUUGUUUUGUUUCAUUGUUGUAUACUCUUUCCUGGAAGAUUGACCUACAUGUAUAUACAAAUGUAGGGUGGCAUUGAGAAUGGUUAUAUGAUAUUGAAAUGGCCAUGCUUACGCUCAUCGUUGUGCAUAAAAUAGAUAGGAUCUCUCUAAAUUCCACCUUAAGACGGCUUUCUUUUCAUUCAGUCUAUUUCUGUUUUAAUUAGGUAUACAUUUGUAUUUUGGAAAGUUGGCGAUUAGAAAAUACUUUUAAUAUAAAAAAGUACAUAAUCAAUUAAUUAUACUUACACAUUUUGAAAAUGUCUUUUGAAUAGCUCAUGUAUUAGUAGUUCUGAGAUUAGCAUACAUCUUUUUUUUGGGGGGAGGGGUAUUUUGUUCUUCUUUUGUUUGUUCGUACAAUGUUAUUUCAUUAUGAAUGUGUAUCGUUAUAGAUCUAUUUUGUGAUAAAAGAGUAAUAUGACAAUCAAACUGCAGUUAACAUUGAAUUUAUUACAUUAUUGCACGUGUUGCACGUGAAAACUGAGACACGAGCGUGCAACUCGCUAAUUCAUGUCCUAUAACUGGUAAUAUGUUUUCAUGCAAUUGACAAAAUGAUAUAUCAUUAUUUAAAAUGAGUUUAUUUUUCAUACUUCCAACAUUUAUCAUGCACGCAUUAUAAGAAUUGUUUAACGCUUACGAAAUAACAGGUUUCUUUGAGGUAGAUAGUAGACAAUAGUUUAUAAUAUAAUUAAAUAGUGUAGUAUAUGCGCCAAGUAUUUUGAAUCAAGUUCGUCUCUGUUUUGUAGAAUUUAUACAUAAACUUCUAGUCAGGUUUAGUAGUGUAUAGUUGCUGAUAACGUUACACGAGAAUAGACAGUAUGUAUCAAUUGAAGGAACGUGCCUGCAUGUACAUAAAUGUUUACCAGUUGUGAUAUUUUCUAACUUACAAUGUUUUAUAAUAAAUAGUUGUUUUCUUUUU